CUCCAGAUGGCUCUCAUGGAUAAGAUGAACAAGGGAAGGCCAGUGCCCAAACCUGACCAUUCUGCCUCGCCUCAUCCUCAGGAACCAAGAGACGCUUCUAAGGCUGGUAGCCCAGGGGAUCCUGCCGCCUGACGCACAGCCCCCGGACCUGAGCGGCAACCCGACCUCCAACUACAAUUCCUGGCUCAGCAGCCUUCCCCCACCCUUGAGGAGCGCCGUUCUCAGCGUGGUGCCUGAAUGCAGCGUCCAGAAGCAGUUUCUGAAGGUUAAGGACAACCCUCGCUUCCUGUUCCUGAUCUUCACUGAGGUCAUCUCACUGUUACCUGGGUCUGGCUUCUGGAUUGUCCUCUUCUUCCUGUUGCUGCUGACUCUGGGGUUGUGUUCCAAUCUCAUGUUCAUGCUGGGCAACGUUUUGACACUCCAGGACACCUUCCCCUUCUGCAGGAGACAGCCGAGGUUGCUCAUAGGUAUUUCCACCUCCGGCCCAGCUCCCCCACAGCAUUGCCACCAGCCCUGACCUGUGAUCUCCCCUUAGCCCCAUCACCUGCCAGACCUCUAGGAUCCUGACACAGACCCGAUGCUUCCUCCAGUGUGCGUUUCCAUGGCGAUGUUCCUGUGCGGCCUCAUCUUCAUCCAACCUUCAGGCAUCUACUACUUUUCACUGCUGAGUGAAUGCUGGGUAGCAGUGCCCGUCAUCAUCAUCAUCAUAUGCGAAAACCUUGCUGUCGCCUGGGCCUACGGGGCCGACAGGCCAAAGAGGUGGUUCGUGUUUUCCCAGAGUGGUCCAAGAUCCUGAUUGCUGGGCUGACUGUCUUUGUCCUCAUGCCCAUCCCUGCAUACUUUGUAUACUGCCUCACCCUGGGGAUUCCCUUCAGAUCUACACCAUCCAGUAAGCUACCACUGGGCAGUGGCCAGCUCCAGUCUACAAAGGAGGCCUCAAAGGAUAUUCUACAAGACUACAAAACAGAGUCCUAAUGAGCCUGUCAGCAGAGCCCCCAACUUCCCUCAUUAGGCCAGACAUCUUGCAUCUCUUACAGCAGACCAAAGAGGCAGCUCUGAACAGCAGCUUAAAGCGAUCACCAGCCUGGAUUGCUCAGGGCAGCAGAGCUGUGGGGCCCGCUGGCUUUGCAGCACAUUCCUGGCUGGGAUCUUCCAUUGUCAUACAGUGCAUCCCCAGACCCUCGCUCAGUGCACCGAGGUUGUCCUGCCAGCCCUGCUCCUGGUCUGAGAGUCUCCUGCACGGUGACGGGGAAGGGUGGGGCUGCUGGCUAAUAAAUCAGUCACUGCAGCACCAGACUGCGUGAGGCUCGAUUUCUGUAGAUGUCGCAGGCAGUUGGCCUUCACAGUGCCGCCAUUUGGUUUUGAGAGCCACAGAUCUAGCCCCGUGUUCCCAGCGCCUCACCAAUCCAGAUGCUCAGUCAGCCCCCAGGCCUUGCCCAGAGCAUGCUCCUCAGCCGAGAGGACCCGAAAAUGCCCU
rnacentral:lncRNA from 1 species